ACUAGUCACUCUCCCUGAGAGAAGACACAGUACGUACUGAUCUUAACAGACUGUCAAUGCCCAAUUGGCAAUCCUAUGAUCAGGAACAUUUAGGAUGUGUCUACGAAAGAAUUGUCUCAUGAAUCUAACUUCUUUAGAUCGUAUUCUCCCAAUCACAUAUUCCUUGGACUUUAUCGUUUAAGCAUAUAACAUUUAUAUGAGACGGCUCAAACAAUAAUGUUUGCCCUUUAUAGUUAAACUAGAUUAGUUUAACGUGUGAAAUGUCCGUAAAGUAUCAUCAUAUGAUUGGUUUUAGGGCACAUUUCCAACAAUCUCCCAC
rnacentral:lncRNA from 1 species